UACGUAGGGUGCGAGCGUUGUCCGGAAUUAUUGGGCGUAAAGAGCUUGUAGGCGGUUUGUCGCGUCUGCCGUGAAAAUUCGAGGCUCAACCUCGAACUUGCGGUGGGUACGGGCAGACUAGAGUGUGGUAGGGGGAGACUGGAAUUCCUGGUGUAGCGGUGAAAUGCGCAGAUAUCGGAAGGAACACCUGUGGCGAAAGCGGGCUCACUGGACCAUUACUGACGCUGAGGCACGAAAGCUAGGGAGCAAACAGGAGUUAGAA
rnacentral:rRNA from 1 species